GCUACCAUAGAAGAAGGAUGAGUCAGUGCUUAGAGGAGCUGCCUUUGAGAAAUAUCAAGGAGGAAUGAAACUCUUGCAAUAAGGAGACAACAAUAUGACACCUCUGCAAUAUAGUGGCAACACCAACUCUCUCAGCCUGAUUGAAAACCAGCAAGAGGUCAGAGUCCUGGAGGAAGCCUCGCCUCCUGGCUGAAGCUGUGCUUGUCACACACUGCAGACAUUAAAUCCUGGUUAGUAAAUCCUGGUCAAGAAAUAUCAGUGACCAUUAGUGUCAGCAGCUCCUGUGAGGUUCUGUGAUCAGAUUUCUUGGAGGGGCAUAUGCUGAAUAUCCUCCCGUAGCACUUGGAACUGAGUGGCGUCUCCUUCUCAACACUGGCUACCACCUGCCAUCCCUCAAACACUGUGCCAUGUGGUUCCAGAGGGCUGCUACUGCCCUGGACACCAUUCAUGAGCUUGCUUUCUUUUAAUCAUAACCCAUGUUUAAUUGUUAUUGCUCCCAAUGAUCAGCAUGAUAAUCAAAAAUAAGUUUGUUAGCGCUAUUUCUCUUUGCAAAUACAUUUGUAACAGAUAUAAUUGGUAAAGUUUAAUUUGUGUUUGACUCAUGGUAAAGUGCCCAUCAACGUAAAAGGAUGAAUAAAAAUGAGGAUUUUUUUUUAACCAACACCUGAGGUUGUGCAGAAAGCAGAGACAACUCUGAGUCCCUCCAAAAAUCAAACAAACUCCUAAAUAGAAGAUUAACAUUUGAAAACACAAGAUGACAAAGAGGGAUCUGAAAUAUGUCUUUAUUUCUCACCUUUCAAUGAUAAAAUACAGAAAUGGACAUUCAAAAGCAAAAGAAACAAAAUAUGAGCAGAGAAAACAAGUCGGUAUAUCUCCAAUAGAAAAAAUGAUUUAGUGAUAUAUAAGGUAUAUCUGUAUCCGACUGUUGCACUAACAGUCACAAAUCUGUUACACAAAUUUGACCUUGGGGGUCUGCAUCGAAUGCAGGGUGUUUGUCCAAGGGUUGAGAACUGCUACAACACUAAAAAUACAUCCUGGAUUUGAUAUUUGUCUCACAAAUAUUGUAGCAGUGAGUUUUGUGGACUAAUUUCUAUUUUAACCCAGUAUAAGUGUGAGUUAAUUUAUGCCUGUUUUAUUUCCACUGUUCUCACUUGUUCACAUCACUGACUUUGCUUUCCUGCCUUUCUGCAUCUGUUAUCCUUGUUUUGCUGUGUAUUUUUUAACUCAAGAUUUUUAUAACUUUAUAACCACUGUAAUUCCUCACAAAAAAAAAUCAAUAGAAUCCCAUCAGUAUUUAAUAAUUUAAAUUAAAAGCAAUGUGUGAUAGGAAAACUCAGGAAAUCUUAGAGCAUGCUUAGUGGAAUUCAGAAAUUUUAACCAGAUGUAAUCUUGCCUGCAACCCUCAGUGCCUUAAGUGGGAAUUCCUCCUGGCCCCAGGAACAAGGGGGCAAACCAGGACAAAAAGCUGGAUCCUUCUGCAGCUCAUAGGAAAGAGUUUUUAAAAUGGCUUGUGGAAACACUUACAGAAAACACUGCCCUGUCAUUGGGAAUAAUAGGCAACAAAUUGAUACAGUCAUUAGGGAACUGAAAAUGAGGAGUAUAGGAAACAGCAAUUAAGCAAUUUCAAGCCUAAAUCAUAACAGCACAAGAGGAACUCCCCAGAUGCCUUUGCUGCCUUUCAAAUAAUCACUGGAUAAGUUUUGCCAAAAAAAAAAAAAAAAAAAAAGGAAAAGAAAAAAAGAAAUAAAAA